AAAAGAUUGUUGAAAAGGCAGUUCCUGGAAUUUAUGUCCUGCCGAUGGAGAUUGGGAAGACUAUGAUGAAGGAUGUGGAGAACAAGGUCCUGGAUGCCAGUUCCGAAGUGUGUCAGAUUCUUGCUCAGGAUCCUAGACUGCAGGAGGGCUACAUUGCUGUUGCAUUCUCCAAGAGUCUCAAGUUCCUAAGGUUGCUGGCUCAGAGAUGCCCAAUCCCUGUCAUGAGAGAUGUGAUCUCAGUUUCUGCUAGGAGAAUUUUAAGUGGCUUUAAGCGAUUUCUCCAGGUGUAUCAAACUCCAGCAAAUGGUCAGAAGACAAACUCAUGACUUGUGCAAAAACUGUGAACACAGCAGUGCUCUGUACCCACUUUGAAAUCUUGUGACACAAUCUACUGCAAAAGUCCUGCUGGUGCACAUAGCCCCUUCCUUCUUUCCUCUUCCUAGCUUGGGAAAGGUUCUUAUGCUUGCUUAGUGUGAGCUCUUCUCAGAGUCUCUGAAAUAAACCUGCCUGCAUUUUG
rnacentral:lncRNA from 1 species